rnacentral:lncRNA from 1 species
UUUCCUAUGUUUACCAACAUCAUUUUCAUCAUGCACACAAUUCAAUUCAAUUUCAAGGGUUUAACAACAACAUUUUCAUCAUUCCCACAAUUCAAUCAAAUUUCAUGGGUUUAACAUCAUCUUUUUCAUUAUUCCCACAAUUCAAUCAAAUUUCAUGGGUUUAACAUCAUCAUUUUUAUCAUUCCCAUAAUUCAAUCAAAUCUUAGGGGUUUAACAAUAAUAUUUUCAUUAUUCACACAAUUCACUCAAAUUUCAUGGGUUUAACAAUAACAUUUUCAACAUUCCCACAAUUCAAUCAAAUUUCAUGGGUUUAACAACAACAUUUUCAUUAUUCACACAAUUCAAUCAAAUUUCAUGAGUUUAACAUCCACAUUUCAUCAUUCCAACAAUUCAAUCAAAUUUCAAAAGUUUAACAACAAUGUUUUCAUCAUUCACACAAUCCAAUCAAAUUUCCUAGGUUUAACAACAUUUUCAUCAUUCCCACAAUUCAAUCAAAUUUCAUGGGUUUAACAUCAACAUUUUCAUCAUUCACACAAUUCAAUCCAAUUUCAUGGGUUUAACAUCAACAUUUCAUCAUUUUCAAAAUUCAAUCAAAUUUCAUAGGUUUAACAACAACGUUUUCAUCAUUCAUACAAUUCAAUCAAAUUUCAAAGGUUUAACAACAAUAUUUUCAUCAUUCACACAAUUCAAUCAAAUUUCAUGGGUUUAAUAACAACAUUCUCAUCAUUCCCAUAAUUCAAUCAACUUUCAUGGGUUUAACAUCGACAUUUUCAUCAUUCCCACAAUUCAAUCAAAUUUCAUGGGUUUAACAUCAUCAUUUUCAUCAUUCCCACAAUUCAAUCUAAUUUCAUGGGUUUAAAAUCAAGAUUUACAUCAUUCCCACAAUUAAAUCAAAUUUCAUGGGUUUAACAACAACAUUUUCAUCAUUCACACAAUUCAAUCAAAUUUUAUGGGUUUAACAACAAUUUUUUUAUCAUUCACAUAAUUCAAUCAAAUUUCAUGGUUUUAACAACAAUAUUUUCAUUUAUUCCCAUAAUUCAAUCAAACUUCAUGGGUUUAACUUUAUAUUUACAUCAUUCCCACAAACCAAUCAAAUCUUAUGGGUUUAACAAUAAUAUUUUCAUUAUUCACACAAUUCACUCAAAUUUGAUGGGCCUAACAAUAACAUUUUCAUCAUUCCCACAAUUCAAUCAAAUUUCAUGGGUUUAACAACAACAUUUUCAUUAUUCACACAAUUCAAUCAAAUUUCAUGAGUUUAACAUCCACAUUUCAUCAUUUCCACAAUUCAAUCAAAUUUCAUAAGUUUAACAACAAUGUUUUC